GGCUCAGAUUGAACGCUGGCGCAUGCCUUACACAUGACAAGUCGAACGGUAACGCGGGGCAACCUGGCGACGAGUGGCGAACGGUGAGUAAUAUAUCGGAACGUGCCCAAUAGUGGGGGAUAGCCCGGCGAAAGCCGGAUUAAUACCGCAUACGACCUGAGGGUGAAAGCGGGGAUCGCAAGACCUCGCGCUAUUGGAGCGGCCGAUAUCAGAUUAGCUAGUUGGUGAGGUAAAGGCUUACCAAGGCGACGAUCCGUAGCUGGUCUGAGAGGAUGAUCAGCCACACUGGGACUGAGACACGGCCCAGACUCCUACGGGAGGCAGCAGUGGGGAAUUUUGGACAAUGGGGGCAACCCUGAUCCAGCCAUGCCGCGUGCAGGAUGAAGGCCUUCGGGUUGUAAACUGCUUUUGUACGGAACGAAACGGUGAGCUCUAAUACAGUUUGCUAAUGACGGUACCGUAAGAAUAAGCACCGGCUAACUACGUG
rnacentral:rRNA from 1 species